GAUGAACGCUGGCGGCGUGCCUAAUACAUGCAAGUCGAGCGAACAGACGAGGAGCUUGCUCCUCUGACGUUAGCGGCGGACGGGUGAGUAACACGUGGAUAACCUACCUAUAAGACUGGGAUAACUUCGGGAAACCGGAGCUAAUACCGGAUAAUAUAUUGAACCGCAUGGUUCAAUAGUGAAAGACGGUUUUGCUGUCACUUAUAGAUGGAUCCGCGCCGCAUUAGCUAGUUGGUAAGGUAACGGCUUACCAAGGCAACGAUGCGUAGCCGACCUGAGAGGGUGAUCGGCCACACUGGAACUGAGACACGGUCCAGACUCCUACGGGAGGCAGCAGUAGGGAAUCCUCCGCAAUAGGCGAAAGCCUGACGGAGCAACGCCGCGUGAGUGAUGAAGGUCUUCGGAUCGUAAAACUCUGUUACUGGGGAAGAACAAAUGUGUAAGUAACUAUGCACGUCUUGACGGUACCUAAUCAGAAAGCCACGGCUAACUACGUG
rnacentral:rRNA from 1 species